rnacentral:rRNA from 1 species
GAUCAUGGCUCAGAUUGAACGCUGGCGGCAGGCUUAACACAUGCAAGUCGAACGGUAACAUGAAGAAGCUUGCUUCUUUGAUGACGAGUGGCGGACUGGUGAGUAAUGCUUGGGAAUCUAGCUUAUGGAGGGGGAUAACUACGGGAAACUGUAGCUAAUACCGCGUAGAAUCGAGAGAUGAAAGUGUGGGACCUUCGGGCCACAUGCCAUAGGAUGAGCCCAAGUGGGA